rnacentral:lncRNA from 1 species
AUUAUUAUCAUUUUCACAAGUUGCCACGCAAUUAACAAAUGCAAUCAGUACAAUGAUAUAUAUGGAUUAACCUAAAAAUCGCUUUAAGUAAACUGAUAAAACCCUUUCAUUUUAAAUUCAUUCGUUAUUGAUACAGGUAAUGAUUUCUGUAAAUUUACUCAAUUUGCAAAUUAUAUCACAUGAAUUAUCCCCCUAAGCAAGCUUUCUUUAUUCAUUUUUUUUUUGUAAUUUUAAAAGAGACAAGCUUAUUUUAUGUUAUCAUCAAUUGGUCAACCGCGGAAGAUACAAAUAGUCUUUAAAAAAU